AGUGAACGCUGGCGGUAGGCCUAACACAUGCAAGUCGAACGGCAGCACAGUAAGAGCUUGCUCUUACGGGUGGCGAGUGGCGGACGGGUGAGGAAUACAUCGGAAUCUACUUUUUCGUGGGGGAUAACGUAGGGAAACUUACGCUAAUACCGCAUACGACCUACGGGUGAAAGCAGGGGAUCUUCGGACCUUGCGCGAUUGAAUGAGCCGAUGUCGGAUUAGCUAGUUGGUGGGGUAAAGGCCCACCAAGGCGACGAUCCGUAGCUGGUCUGAGAGGAUGAUCAGCCACACUGGAACUGAGACACGGUCCAGACUCCUACGGGAGGCGGCAGUGGGGAAUAUUGGACAAAGGGCGCAAGCCUGAUCCAGCCAUACCGCGUGGGUGAAGAAGGCCUUCGGGUUGUAAAGCCCUUUUGUUGGGAAAGAAAAGCAGCAGGUUAAUACCCCGCUGUUCUGACGGUACCCAAAGAAUAAGCACCGGCUAACUUCGUG
rnacentral:rRNA from 1 species